rnacentral:lncRNA from 1 species
CCAUACAUUCUAUAUAGAAUGGACGUUGUCUGCCUCCUUGCUGGGUGAAGCCUCUGUGAGGACAGCACCCCCUGGUGACAGGCUGCUGCAGUAUAGGUCAAAAAUCCUGCCUCCUCCAGCAAACUUAAUGGAGUUGUGGACAAACUUUAGAAUUUUAUUAUGAGCUUACGAAGAUUGCGUAGCUCAUCCAGGGGAUAUUCUGUUCAAGCAGAGUGUCAUUACAGCAACUCCCCGCCAAAUGUGUACAACUCUACUGCGCAAGUAGUGGUUCCAGGAAGUGGAGAAAAUCCCCAAAAAUACCAAGAGCAAUUUGGUUUCAAAUUUGUAUAAUGAUGGAAGGUGGAGCCAAGUUGUCCAUAGUAUAUACAGUCUAUGGCGCUACCCAGAGGUGGCGCUGUUGCCUUGAUCAAAGAAGAGUUUGUAUGAAGACAUUAGGACAAGCGAAUUCCACAGGCGUUCAGCACAUAGUGAAAAACUCCAAUCCAACUGCUCCAGGCUGUUUGUGCUUCUGUUUGUGAAUUAGGUGAUUUUUGCAAUGAGGCUUGUCUGCAUGUUUGGCUCUUAAUGAAUAUGCAUAAUGGCUAAUUUGCUGUUUGCUCUGCAGUGCCAUUUGUGAGUAUUAAACCAUUUGCAUGUGCUUAGUGGAUAGGCGAUAUCUUUUUGGCUCAUUUGCACGCAAAACGCCCUCUCAUUCUAACUGAGAGCCUCGUACUCCGUUUUUGGUGUUGUCCCUCAGAUAUGACAGUUGGUUGCAAGUCUUUAUCAAUGAUAUUCUUUUCAACCUACUUUUGGGUUAAGUAAAUGAUAAAUUGAACUUUUUUUAUGGUUAAGACUGAAAGAUUUUCCAGCUUUGCUGUUCUCUAACCAUUUUUUAUUCAUGGUGAAGUUGUAACAUUUGGGUUAAUUCUUUUGAUUUGUUUAACCGGACGCAUUAACCUCCACCAGCACACAAAGAAGGUCCACUUUACCUUAUCUUUUCUGUUAGCAUUUUAUGCAUACUCAUCACAUCCUAAAACAAUUCCAAAUUUUUGGUUUCUUGGUGUUUGUUUUCUUCGGUUUAGUUGAUGUCUUUCACUCAGCUAUUUUUACCCCCUUUCUCGUUUCUCAUCUGUUUUCCUCCUCUUCCUCCAGCUUCCUAUCACUACUGCUGACUGUUCAGCAUUAACCAUUAACCUUAAGUUUUAUGCUUUCCAAAGAAGAGUGAAUAAUAUGGAAAAUAUCCUUCAUGUUGUUUAACGAUGCUGCCAGAAACAAAUGUUUGGUCAGUGUCAAGAUGCAGAGGUGAAAUCAUAAACUAUACACACCAUAUAUGUGCAGGAAUCUUUUAUUUCGGUAGAUUUGAUAUUCAGAAUUAUUAAAUGUUAUUGAGUCUGACCAAUCAGAUUGAAGUAUGAAACACAGUCUGGUGAUAAGACAGCUGAGUAAUAAAGACAGAAUAUAGAAUUGGUACCAGUCCGAUUAUCGUAGGUUGCCAUAUGCUGAAAAUAUGAAAGAAAUCUUUUUGUGAACAGGAAGUCGACUUUUCUCUGGACUUAAUGACUUUAGAUAGUAGUUAUCAAAGUGAGCAGACUGUGUGUGUGUGUGUGUGUGUGUGUGUGUGUGUGUGUGUGUGUGUGUGUUUGUGUGUGUAGGGUGUUUUAAUUAUGCAGCAGUGUUUUUGUGGAGGACUCACAGUGUGACAGCAGACAGCAGUGUGGGAGAGCAGAGCAGAGAUCCGUGUCAGUUAUGUAAGUCUGCAUUAACAUGCUCUCUCUUUUUAACCCUUUUAAUCAUCAUAUCACAAGAAAAGCAUGCUGAAGAUUGAGGUCACUCUCUCCACUGAUAUUAGUCUGUUUGCGUAAAAUGCAUUUAUUUAAAGCAUCAAAGUUUGUCUUCAUCUCAGUGGAUAACCAGUUUAUUUCUCGAUUUACUUCUCAUACUCUCUCUCUCUCUCAGUGAUGGCUUCCUGCUGUUGACUGUCUGCAGCCUGAACCUGAAUCUGAACCUUACCCUGGCUUUAAAACUCUGAAGUGAUGCUGCUGGCUCUGUCUGUUUUUAGGUCCUCCCUCUGCUGACAUGUUUUGACAGUGUGAAGUAAUCAGUUAUUGAUCAGGCGAAAGCAUAAACCUGACUUGGACCUGUGUGAAGAGGUUAAAACGUGCACAAAGAAAAUCCUUGGAUAUUUAAAACAGAUCACAGUAGUAUUUCAAUUUGUAGGACAAGCAGGAGAUCAUUUUGCCAUUUUGUUCUGCUUUAUUAUUGGUGCAAAAGUUGGAUUUUUCCAGUUACAUCUCUCCUUUCACCUAAAUGUCUCACAGAUGUCACGCCUCCUGUCACAGUUGUUCCUCCUAAGAGCCUAAAGCAGAGGUAGCAACAAAAGUGAGACACAAAGAACUCAAAGAACUAUAAACUAGACGUGGAACAGCCCAAAACUAAAUAGGCUAUGAUUGUUCACUGACUCAGCAGCGAUGUUACAUCUAUGUCAGCACAGUGGCAUCCUGGGAGGAGAAGAUCUCACACAGUCUGUACGUUUACAUGCACUAAUGUGACAGACUUGUGUCUAUAUAUGAUUUUUAGAAGUCCACUUUCAAUUUUGAUUUAAUUUUUUGAACUGCAUGUAGAUGUAAUGUGUGAUCACACUCUAGGGUGACCAUAUUCUGAAUCCCAAAAAAGAAGACACUACUAAGUGGGGCGAAGUUGUGCGCAAGCAAAAUUUUGAGCGUUUUCUGGUCAGAUUGAGUGUUUUUUUAUGCGAUUAUAACUCAGUUAAACGUAGGAAUGUCGUCUUUUAUUUUAGGUUUUAAAAAAGAUUUUAAAAAAGACGAAAUUUUAUCUCACUUUUUUUUCCCUCUUUGGUGGAAACGGGCUUCCAUACAAAAUCCUGGACAUUUGAAGGGUUUUAUAAACUCCCUCUGGACAGGCCAGACAGCCCCCCAAAAGAGGACUUGUCCGUGUACAAGAGGACGUAUGAUCACCCUAUUGCAAACAUAGUGGCUGAUGUUUCACUCAGGCUGUCCUUUCUGUCUUGGCAUUAUUUUCCCUCCUCAUGAUGAAGGUCAUGAAUGUAGUGAUGAGUUGUAAUUUAUUUGCAGGCCUUCUGUCCUUCACAGAGACCAGAAAUUCUAAUCUGCAGAAGCACCUAUCCCAUCAACACAUUUCUACUAAACAAGCUGCCAGAGAGCUCGGCUUUGCUAACACCGGUGACCCACGUGCGGCUCCCAUCAGCUGUGUGGAUGAAAGAGUAGUCGCUCCAUAUGAACAGGCAACGCUUUAAAUCAAAUCACCACCAGCCCAACUAUAUGGAGGCCAGGAAGGAAUAGACAGACCAACUGCAGGGUAUGUUGUUGGAGACGUGUUUUCCAUAUCAAACUAUUGAGUCUGCUGCACUUACCAACAAAGUACCAGUGAGCUGAAUACCAAGGUAAGAGAAACAAACUCUAAAGUUCAUUUCCCACAGAGGCAAUUGCUUUCCUAACGCUGUAACUCACUUCUUGAAAAAACAACUAGUGAUAAUCAACAAUGAAUAAUUUUUUUUUCUGUUUGUGGCAUGACAUAUGACAUUUUGUGACAUGACACAUUCGGGACAUGGCAGAUGAAAUGUUUGUGACACCACAUGAAAAGUUUGUGGCAAGUUUUUAUGUUUGUGACGGGAACACAACAUGACAUUUUUGUGGCAUAAUAAGUUUGUGGCAUGAAAUAUGACAUGCUGGUUGUUUUGUCCCCCCAGUAUUUGAGUUCAAAAUAUACUGUUUUUGUGUCUUGAGGUCCUGAGCUGUCUGACCUUCCUCCUCUUUGAUAUCAAUCUUUUAUUUCCUCCGUCUCUCCACCACUCCAGUAUUACAUCCAUCCUUUUGACAUUUUCCAACAUCCAAAUUACAAAACCUACCUCUCAUAAGUGGUCAAAUGUGCUGAAGAGACAAGUGCAGCAGUAAGUCGUGCAGCAGCUCCAGUCUCCUGCUCCCUCAUCAGGCUGAAUGGGGUCAAAUCUGUAUCUUUCAUUUCAUCAGCACACCAUCAUCCAUCAUGCUGUCAGAAACCUCGUCUCCAACACGAACGUCUGACAGGACUCUAACAAAUACCUCAAAAUGAGGAGUAGGAACCAGAAACUGCACAAAACUAUAAUUUUUCAGCUCUACAGAGUGUGUGUGUGUGUGUGUCAGUGUGUCUGUGCGUGAUUCAUCAUUGUGCUGUCUGCAGAGCUAACUCUGACUGAAUUACAGAGAACUGUCUGUAAACACCAAUUCAUGUUUUAUAUUCACACUGAUCAGCUAUAAGAUUUGACUACCUGCCUAAUCUAAUAACAGGCUCCAUCUUUUCACUUCAGAGUAAAGUCCUGUAUUUCGAGGCGUGGACUCCACAGGACCUCAGGAUGUGCUGUGAUAUCUGGUCCUGAGACGACAUGUGAGGUGAGGCAUCCAUGGAUUGGAUUACUUUGUUCAGAACAUCCCGCAGAUGCUAACUAACAGGUACCAUCGCAAAGAGAUACUUGACCUGUCAGCAGACAUGAUGGUAUCAGGAGCUUACAUUGUGGUGAUUUUUGGUUACACCGAAAACUCAUGCUUUGUAACCUGGUGCAAUAUUUGAAACCUUUCCUGCAAGUGCAAAUGUUUGUUCUGGUGCAACCUUUUUUUUUUUUCCUGUUGCUUUAUAAAACCUUAGCUUAGACAGUGACUGAUGGUUGAUUAGUAUUGCAGGGUUUUUCUUGCACAUUACACCAUGGGGCAGCUGCCUCAGCCUAAUUUCUGCACUGCCACCGUCAUCUUCAGGGUUUCACUUCAUUUUCAGAAAAAAACCUGCCGGACGAGCGCAGCACAUGGUGAGUCGUCAUAUUUCACUCCAGUAACAGCAUUGCACCAAUGUGAUGCAACCACUCUGUGAAAUUGUCACAUUCUGAAUGUUGUACCAUAGACUGUAUAUAGAAUGGACAGCGUCUGCCUCCUCGCUGGGUGAAGCCACUCUGAGAACAGCACCCUCUGGUGACGGGCUGCUGUAUAGGUCAUAAAUUCCCACCUCUGCCAGCAAAGCUUAUGGAGCUGUGGACAAACUUUAGAAAUUUAUUACAUAGAAUAUAAUUUUUUCCCCCUGCUUGCAAUUUCGACAUGUUGUUACUAUAAGUUUGGUCUGUGCUCAAGUCCUCUUUUUUCUAUGAAGCUCCAUUAUUAAAAGUUAUUAGGUUGUUCAUUUUUUCUAUGAUUGACAUCUGAUACAGCCUAAGGGCGUACGAAGAUUGCUUAGCUCACCCGGGGAUACGCUGUUUGAGCCAAGCGUCAUCUAAGAAAAAUCGCAGAAAUACCGAGUAUUUUUCUGCUUUAAAUCUGUAUACUGGCGGAAGGCUGAACCAACUUGUACAUAGUAUAUACAGCCUAUGGUUUCUACUGAACAUUUAACCCUCUGAACUGGCGAGUUAGAUGGUAUGGCAUGAGGUCUGUUUAUUCACAGAAACAUGUUUCAGUCUUUUAGUUUCCUGAUUUUUAGAUUGUAAAGUAUAAACAACUAAAAAUACUCUAAAUAUUUCACACUGAAUCAGCUCAAAGCAACAAGGCAAGGUUAAAUGAAUUAAUGAUAAGUACUGUUUUGAGUGUUAAUGACUUCAAAUACUGUCCUCCUGAAAGAUGGUGUCAGAUCUAAAAAUGUGUGAGCUGUGUUUUUAGAUACUCAGAAAAGCUUUGAUCUUUUUGUCUCAGAGUUUGGAGGACUUAAUGGUUGAUGAAGGGUUUCUGAAGAACUGUUCUUGAAAAACAUUCAAGUGUGUGAGGUACUGGGUGUAGACAGGUGACCUUUAUUCACUGGAAACCCUUUCCUUUUAUAGUCUCAUCACACUCACGGUGUUACAGAGGAAUACAAAGAGUCAGACAUCUACAGCGAGUCAUAUUGCUGCUGCUUGUUUUAUACUUCAUUUGAAUGUUGCGAUUGUGCGCGGUCUUUAAAACAUCUUUAUCUUGUGCAUGCAUAUUUAUCUAAAGUCUAAUUAUAAUUAAAAAAAAUCAUUGAGAAAUGUGCUGUUAGCAAUGGGUGGUGUACAUGGAUUCUGCACUAUCGUCAUCAGUGGUUUGAAAAUGCUUUUCGAUUCCUGUACACACACAUUAUGAGUUUCCCCCUCACAUACUUGACAGAGAUUUUCUCCCAUCAAUACUGAUGCUGCCAGUGUAGAGAAAAAAAAAUGUGUAAUGGUGCAAUUUGAAACCAAAACAGCUUGGCUGCUUCCUGGUCAGCACAGAUGCUGCAUUCAUUCAACUCCAGAGUCAGCUGGGAAUGACGUCCUCCCCAGUUGACAGCAUUCCAGCGAUGAAUUUGAGAAAAAGUUGAAUAACAGCACCCUGUACUUGUGUUGUUAGUAUCUUUAGUUAUACUAACAACAUAAGUUAUACACUUUAUUAGACACCUAUCUCUAUGAUGCAUUAUAGAUAUAUUUAGAAUGCGUUAUAAUCAUGUUAUAGCACUAUAAAACUAUAGCUAUAAACACUCAUAAAUGAUCAUCAUGCUUUAUGGCAAUAAUCAUCACACAUUAUAAAGUGUUUUAUCAUGACUUACAUCAUCACCAUCAUAACAACUCACUGGCAGUGCUCACAUAGAUAACGCAAUGCAACUGUUGUUAACACUUAAAACAGACUAUAAUACCUGACCUUGUAUGUCAUGAUAAAAUGCUUUGUAAUGUGUUAUGAUUAUUGCUGUAAAGCAUUUUGAUCAUUAAUGAGAAUAGAAUAGAAUAGAAUAGAAUAUUCCUUUAUUGAUCCCCCAUGGGGGAAAUUAUUUUGUCACAGCAGCAUCACAGACAAGCCAAAAAGUGCAAAAAUGCAGUUAUAACAAUAAGGGUCCUAAUAUUAAGAACUUAAAUAAAUGUAAUAAUUAAGAAAAAAAUUAGAAAAGGGAGAAGAAAAAAUAAAGCUUUCUACAAUAUACACAAUUUAAAUGCCAUAAAAAAAGUGGUGGUGUAAAUCCAGUUUUGUUACUGUUCAUUGUAAAGUCUUAUUGCAGAGGGGAGGAAUGAUCUGCGGUAGCGCUCCGUCCUGCAGGGUGGGAGUCUCAGUCUGCUGCUGAAGGAGCUGCCUAAAGCCCCCACAGUCUGGUUCAGUGGGUGAGAGGGAUUGUCCAUGAUGGAUACAAGCUUUGUUAACAUCCUCCUCUCACCCACCUCCUCCAGGGAGUCCAAAGAGCAGUCCAGGACAGAACCGGCCCUCCUGACCAGUCUAAUGAGUGUUUAUAACUAAAGUUUUACAGUGCUAUAACAUGAUUAUAACGCAUUAUUAAUAUAUUUAUAAUGUGUUACAGAGAUAAGCGUCAAAUAAAGUGUUACCACAAUUACAGUGGACUUAGUGAUAGUUUGUGCAUGCUACAUGACAAUGUCUGCAGACAGCACAAAAUGAUCUGCGUGAGUGGUUAAAUUAUGCAAAACAAGACCAGGAUGCUAAUCACGGUUUAGAGUACAGCUUUCAUUAAGCUGUUGCAGGAGCCGAUCACCUUUAGCUCGGGUCCCUUGAAGUUGCUCCAAGUUUCUAGCAGUAAUGAAGUAUGGCUGACCUCUCUAAUGGGCAUCUUGAAAUUUCCAACUUCAGACGACAAAUUGAAAACACCGAAAUCUACAGCCAGCACACUCAUCAAAGAGCACUGCUUCCUCCUGUCGUUUGAGCAGGUGUCAGUGUAAGCUUUGUUAAAACAGAUUUACUCGCUUGAAAGUGCGUUUAAAAUGAUUGCUUAGUUGCUGUGACUCCAAAAGGAUGAAAAUUCAGUGGGCUGUAGCUGUUAAAUAUAAUGAAAGUAGUGGUUGUAACUCCUGAAAAUCUCCUUGAAUCAUAGCUUUGCUGAAGCUGAGUACAUUUUAUGAUAAACACAUUUCAUUUCUGACAAACUCUUCACAGUAAAAGUCUUUAACUUUAUUGUUGUUAUAUAUUUAUCCUGAUACACUCAUCCCAGGAACACACAGUAGUCUAUCAAAUCAUCUGUAUCUAGUGCCAGGCACAAAAAUGAGCUGAGUCUCUGAGAGAGGUAGGAUGUAGUGAGUUAAAGGGAUAUUCCAGCGUGAAAUUAAGUUAGGGUCAAACACACCGUAACACUGAAUUAGACACCACCUCAAGAGAUGAAUGUUGCUGACUGCUUGCUUCUCUAGUUGUACCAACUCAGGAACAACCGCACGAUAGCAAUACACAGCGGUCUAUGGAUCCACUCACACACCUCGACCAAAACG